rnacentral:rRNA from 1 species
CGGCGUGCCUAACACAUGCAAGUCGUACGAGAAAGUUGGCUUCGGCCGAUGAGUACAGUGGCGCACGGGUGAGUAACGCGUGGAUAAUCUGCCCUUAAGUGUGGAAUAACGUACCGAAAGGUGCGCUAAUACCGCAUAAUGCCUGGCAACACAAGUUGUCCGGCCAAAGAAGGCCUCUGUUUACAAGCUUUCGCUUCAGGAUGAGUCCGCGUACCAUUAGCUUGUUGGUGGGGUAAUGGCCUACCAAGGCUGCGAUGGUUAGCUGGUCUGAGAGGAUGAUCAGCCACACUGGAACUGAGACACGGUCCAGACUCCUACGGGAGGCAGCAGUGAGGAAUAUUGCGCAAUGGGGGCAACCCUGACGCAGCAACGCCGCGUGAGUGAGGAAGGUUUUCGGACUGUAAAGCUCUGUCGAGCGGGAAGAAGUGUACCAUGGCUAAUAUCCAUGAUAUUUGACGGUACCGCUAGAGGAAGCACCGGCUAACUCCGUG